rnacentral:lncRNA from 1 species
UGUUGAGACCAGGAACCUCCUGGUUGGUGUCCCAUGAAGGGGGAAAACCCCCAAUAUGAGGUCAAUUUCACAAAUUGAAGAAGAUUUAACGAGAUUAAAGCAUGUUAUUAUCAUCCUUUCUUGAUUUCUAUGGCCAAUCGUAAGUAAUUCUUCAUGUCUUGAUAGUAAGAACUCAUGGGUUAGGGUUCUUGUGUUUUGUGGUUCAGUAAAACAACAAUUCAAAAACAACAAUUCAUGGCUUUGAUGCUUGAUUUCUGGUUUAGAAAUCCUAAUUGAUAAGUUAGGAAAAUUGGAUGUAAUUCGGAGUCAUGAAUUUAUAUUGCAUAAUGGAAAACAUGUUUAUUUGCUGAUAGAGAUAAGUGUGGUACCGGUACCGAAUAUCAUCAAAAUUGGGUACCGGUAUCGAAAAUGUUCGGUAUGGUACCAAUAUUUGAAGCUAAAAAAGGGUAUUUUACCGGUACAAAAAUGCCAAAAAGUGGGUACUGAAAAAAAUUCGGUACGGGAAAUUUGGUACCGGUACCCAGUACUAAACGUUCAUCCCUAUUUGCUGACCAUAAAUUUGAACAAAACUUGUGAAUCUAAAAACAAUGGUGAUUUUAUUUAAAAACAUGCAAAACGGUACUAUUCGGGGAUUAUAAAGUAAGUAUACAUCUUUGAUGAUGAAUUGAGGGUAUGAAAGUUCAUAUAAGUGUAAAAAUGGUGAAAUAUAGUUUAUGCACACAACUUAUUUGAUUAAAUGUAUAAACUAAAAUAAAAGUGAAAUUUUGAAAGAUUUUCCAUGUUUACUUCAUUACAUGAAUUGUUAAUAAUCAAGAUUAAAUUAGUGUGCGUAAGUCUAUGACAAACCUAGUUAGUGAAUUGUAAUAUAUAUAAUCAAAAGGACACAUAUGAGCUCAUUAUGACAAAGAACAAGUUAAUCGUCCAAACGGGUCACUUGAGUGAAUGGGUUUUUUGGAUGGGUUAUAAUUUAUAACCAAAACUUAUACCUAUUGGUUAAUUGAUGAAUUUAUAGUGAAAGUGACCCGUAUGUUAUGAUUAAACACGAAUGCGCGAUAAAGAGUCAAAUGCGUGGUGGUAAACCAAUUAACAAGUUUGGGGUAAAAGAAUGAUUUAGAACACAUGUUUGAUGAUGAGUGGAUAAAUACUUAUGUAUUAUGAGAUGAAUGCCCAUAUUAUGUGUUCUAAUGAUUUGCAAGUUUGAUUUGUUGUCAAGAUAGGUAAGAUAACGUUUGGAUGCAACGGGUCAAACGGGUAAUAAAGCAAUAACACUCCUACGGGUGAAGGUGAGUGAUAAGAACUAGAAAACUAAGGCCUGAUUUUAUUGAAAUAAUAAGAUAGUUAGCCCGACUCGAGAGGGCUAAUAUCCAAUACAAAACUCAUUGCUUGUGAAUACAAACAUCAGCUUCCGAUUCCUCCUUUAGUCCAUUUAAAAACACUCCCAAUAAACAAUGAUAGGGCCAGUUAGAUACCCGUGCCAACCUCUUCACGAAUUCGUGGCGAUAUUCUUGCACCGUGCUUGUUUGUUUGUUGCUACAGAGGUACUCGUUUGGGUUUGGGUUCGGGAACUCGGCUUGACCGAAGUUCUUUUGUAAAACAAGAGUAAAAUCCUCCCAAUCUGCAAAAGAAUGCUCUGCAGCAAGCCAUGAAUACAAAUCUAUAGUGUCUCCUUCCAAGUGUUUCGAGGUCACGUCCACUCUCUCAUCAUCUAGAUUGUAAUAAUAGUGGAAGUACUUCUCGACCUUGAGUAUCCAUCCUCGUGGAUCACCCCCAUUGAAGGUAGGAAAAUCAAUUUUACUAUAGGGACAAAAGUGUUUACCAUGAUUCCAGGAUGAAUCUAGCUCUUUAAACCUGCUGGAUUUUCCUUUGGAGUCAGCUUUAGCUUUCAGUUCUGCCACAUCUUUUUGUAAAGUGUUCAUCGCUUCUAAUUUCGCCAUUACAGCCGCUAGCUGGGUAGCGACAUGAUAUUGAUUAGAACCCCCAUUUUCUGAAUUCUGAGCCUGCACCAUUUCUUCGAUUGUUCCCAGCAAUGGAACCAAAUGAUAAGAACUAGAAAAUUUAGGGCUGAUUCUAUUGAAAUAAUAAGAUAAUUAGGCCGAUUCGAGGGGGUUAAUCUUCAAUACAAAACACUUAAUAAUUCAAAUAAACAAGGCAUAGGAAAUAGAACAUAUUUGAAACACUUAAAUAAGAAAUAAAGUGGUUACUAGGGUGGAGAUACAAUAGGAAGUUUAUUUGGCUAGGAAGGAUAGAAAGUGAUCUUGACCAUCCAUUAAGUUAAUCAAGGGCUAAGAUUAAAUCAGGGAAAUUGAAAGGAAGAAAAGAGGUGCGUGAGUUUUGUUCAAGGGCAUUCUAGUCAAUCCAAGCCAAUAGUUUCUCUAUCCUCCAAUUCCCCCCCCCCCAUUUUUUAAACGUUAAUAACUCUUUCAUACGACAUUAUUUUUUUAUAAAAAUUACACCAAAAAAACGAGCGUUUUUUAUCUUUAAAACGAGUAUACUAUUGCUAUAUUU